rnacentral:sRNA from 1 species
AUGUACCCACUACACUCCGGUUCCUCCGCGCCGUCCGCACCCACCUGACGACUGCUCGCUACGUUUUGUUAGCC